CAUUUGGUUCAUGUGCUUGGCUGAUAAGCCAAUGGUGCGAAGCUACCAUCUGAGGGAUUAUGACUGAACGCCUCUAAGUCAGAAUCCCGCCUGGAAAGCGACGAUGCAUUCGUGCCUCGGCCUCGAGAGGCGUAGCUAGACGGCCGCGUGGCCGUGGAAAGAGCCCGAUUCCGACCCGAGAGGCCGCGGCAAGAGGCGGCCUCGAAGUCGGUGGAUCCUCCUGCUCGAAAGGCGGGGUGCUAAACCAUUCGCAGACGACCUAGUUGAAGAUCGGGGUGUCGUGAUCACUAGAGCAGUACAUCUCACUGCGAUUUGUUGAGAGUAAGCCUCAAGAUCUGUCGGUUUGU
rnacentral:ncRNA from 1 species